rnacentral:ncRNA from 2 species
GAACGUCGUGAGACAGUUCGGUCCCUAU